rnacentral:tRNA from 1 species
AUUCAUGUAGUUUAAUUAAAACACUAUACUUUCAUUAUAGAAUAAGAGUAAAACUCUUAUGAAUU